GAUGAAGAACGUAGCGAAAUGCGAUAAGUAGUGUGAAUUGCAGAAUUCAGUGAAUCAUCGAAUCUUUGAACGCACAUUGCGCCUCCUGGCAUUCCGGGAGGCAUGCCUGUUCGAGCGUCAUUAAAAACCACUCAAGCUUCUAUGCUUGGUCUUGGAUGAUGAGGGUGGAAACUCCCUCAGCUCCGAAUUGCAAUGGCGGAUUUCCUCACGAGUCCCGGCGUAGUAAGUUCAUCUUGUCGCCUCGUCCCGUGACGGAUCCUGCCGCAAACUCCAAUCACUCCAGGUUGACCUCGGAUCAGGUAGGGAUACCCGCUGAACUUAAGCAUAUCAAUAAGCGGAGGA
rnacentral:misc_RNA from 1 species